rnacentral:ncRNA from 1 species
GGCCGACGCCAAGCUGCCGGAUGCGCAGUCGGGCUAUGAGAAGGCCUACACAAAUGUCCUAGCCGGACACAGUGGCGCGAAUCUGAUCUACGAAUCA